rnacentral:SRP_RNA from 1 species
GCCGGGUGCGGUGGCAUGUGCCUGUAAUCCAAGUCACUGGGAGGCUGAGGUUGGUGGAUCAAGUGAGCUGAGGAGCUCUGGGCUGCAGCACUCUAAGUCGAACGGGUGUCCACGCUAAGUUCGGUAUCGAUAUGGUGUUCCUGGGGGAGCCCGGGACCACCAGGUUGUCUAAGGAGGGGUGAACCGGCCCAGGUCGGAAACGAAGCAUGUAAAUCCCCCGUGCUGUCCAGUAGUGGGAUAAUACCUGUGAGUAGAUGCUGCAGUGCAGCCUUGGCAAAACAUCGAUACCUAAUCUUUU